rnacentral:misc_RNA from 1 species
UCCGGUUUGUCACCGGCAGUCUCACUAGAGUGCCCAACUGAAUGUGGCAACUAAUGACAAGGGUUGCGCUCGUUGCGGGACUUAACCCAACAUCUCACGACACGAGCUGACGACAGCCAUGCAGCACCUGUGUUACGGUUCCCUUUCGGGCACCCCCGCAUCUCUGCGGGGUUCCGUACAAGUCAAGGGUAGGUAAGGUUUUUCGCGUUGCAUCGAAUUAAUCCACAUAAUCCACCGCUUGUGCGGGUCCCCGUCAAUUCCUUUGAGUUUUAACCUUGCGGCCGUACUCCCCAGGCGGUCAACUUCACGCGUUAGCUUCGUUACCAAGGAAUAACUUCCCCGACGCCUAGUGUCCAUCGUUUACGGCAUGGACUAC